rnacentral:rRNA from 1 species
GCCGGGGUUUCUUUACCAGGUACCGUCAUUAUCUUCCCUGGCGAAAGAGCUUUACGACCCUAGGGCCUUCGUCACUCACGCGGCAUGGCUAGAUCAGGGUUUCCCCCAUUGUCUAAGAUUCCCC